UCUUGUGAAGAGUCAAGAACAUUACUUGGGUGACACUUAAGAUGAACACUUUCCCAGCUUUAGUGACUGUGAUGCUGCUGUUUAUGCUUGAGAGAACCUGUGGAGACUCAGUAACCCAGAAACAAGGUCAAGUGACUCUCUCAGAAGAUGACUUCCUAUUUAUAAACUGCACUUAUUCAACCACAUCUUACCCAACUCUUUUCUGGUAUGUCCAAUACCCUGGAGAAGGUCCAGAGCUGCUUUUGAAAGUCGAAGCAGCCAACAACAAGGGAAGCAGUAGAGGAUUUGAAGCGACAUAUGAUAAAGGAUCCACCUCAUUCCACUUGCAGAAAGCCUCGGUCCAAGAGUCAGACUCGGCUGUGUACUACUGUGCUCUGAGUGACACAGUGUCACAAACUGCAGGGGGAGCUGAGCACAAACUCUGAGAAGCAAAACAAAGCCUGACUUCUGAUCACCUGUUUUUUUGGAUGACUCUGUUUUCCACACAGUCUGUGAGGUGUUCCCCAAUAUUUCUCUGGAUGAUGAAAAUCAUACAAAUGAUCAGAGCAGAACAAGAAGUGGAUGUUACCACAGCUGGAUCUCGUAGGGGAAGCUGAAACCCUAGGACAUUAGUGGUUCCUCAUGGAGUGUCAUAGUGAUUUCACAGGAGAACCAUGGAAACAAAGAAACAGUCAGUUGUCUUGAUAUCUAUAUACAAGUCACUGCCUUCAUGUUGUUGCAUGUCACCUCUGGCCCAAGUUAUUCAAAGAGGGCUAAAAUGCCAGAAAAGGUGGCAUCUUGAUAAUGUCUACCUAAAACUAUGGAAGAAGAUGCUAUCAGAGGGCUACGGCUAUUCCAUACCUCAUCAUUUCUAAGAGAGAAAUAUGGAUAACUAGAAAGGAGAAAGGGAGGCUAGAGCAGGUACAUGAUAUUCAGAGUUUCAAUGUGCCCCUCUUCUCUAAUUCUACCCCAUUCUCAU